rnacentral:rRNA from 1 species
AGAACGAACGCUGGCGGCAGGCUUAACACAUGCAAGUCGAACGCGUGUAGCAAUACACGAGUGGCGCACGGGUGAGUAACGCGUGGAUAUCUGCCUUUUGGUUCGGAAUAACCCCGGGAAACUGGGGCUAAUACCGGAUGGUUCCUACGGGAUAAAGAUUUAUCGCCAAAAGAUGAGUCCGCGUACGAUUAGCUAGUUGGUGAGGUAAUGGCUCACCAAGGCGACGAUCGUUAGCUGGUCUGAGAGGACGAUCAGCCACACUGGGACUGAGACACGGCCCAGACUCCUACGGGAGGCAGCAGUGGGGAAUAUUGGACAAUGGGGGCAACCCUGAUCCAGCCAUGCCGCGUGAGUGAUGAAGGCCUUCGGGUUGUAAAGCUCUUUUGGCGGGUACGAUGAUGACGGUACCGCAGAUAAGCCCGGCUAACUUCGUGCCAGCAGCCGC